rnacentral:rRNA from 1 species
AACGAACGCUGGCGGCAGGCCUAACACAUGCAAGUCGAACGCUCCGCAAGGGGAGUGGCGCACGGGUGAGUAACACGUGGGAACCUACCUUCUGGUACGGAACAACCAAGGGAAACUCUGGCUGAUACCGUAUACGACCUCCGGGUGAAAGAUUGAUCGCCGGAAGAGGGGCCCGCGUCCGAUUAGGUAGUUGGUGAGGUAACGGCUCACCAAGCCUGCGAUCGGUAGCUGGUCUGAGAGGANGACCAGCCACACUGGGACUGAGACACGGCCCAGACUCCUACGGGAGGCAGCAGUGGGGAAUAUUGGACAAUGGGCGCAAGCCUGAUCCAGCCAUGCCGCGUGAGUGAUGAAGGCCUUCGGUUGUU